rnacentral:rRNA from 1 species
GUGCGAGUCGAGCGAAUCGAUGGGAGCUUGCUCCCUGAGAUUAGCGGCGGACGUGGUGAGUAACACGUGGGCACCUGCCUAUAAGACUGGGAUAACUUCGGGAAACCGGAGCUAAUACCGGAUACGUUCUUUUCUCGCAUGAGAGAAGAUGGAAAGACGGUUUACGCUGUCACUUAUAGAUGGGCCCGCGGCGCAUUAGCUAGUUGGUGAGGUAAUGGCUCACCAAGGCGACGAUGCGUAGCCAACCUGAGAGGGUGAUCGGCCACACUGGGACUGAGACACGGCCCAGACUCCUACGGGAGGCAGCAGUAGGGAAUCUUCCGCAAUGGACGAAAGUCUGACGGAGCAACGCCGCGUGAACGAAGAAGGCCUUCGGGUCGUAAAGUUCUGUUGUUAGGGAAGAACAAGUACCAGAGUAACUGCUGGUACCUUGACGGUACCUAACCAGAAAGCCACGGCUAACUACGUGCCAGCAGCCGCGGUAAUACGUAGGUGGCAAGCGUUGUCCGGAAUAUUGGGCGUAAAGCGCGCGCAGGUGUUCCUUAAGUCUGAUGUGAAGCCCAGGCUCACCGUGGAGGUCAUUGGAAACUGGGAACUUGAGUGCAGAGAGGAAGUGGAUUCCAGUGUAGGGUGAAUGCGAGAGAUUGGAGGAACACAGUGGCGAAGCGAUUUCUGGCUGAACUGAACUGAGCGCGAAAGCUGGGGAGAAACGGAUUAAUCCCUGGAACCCCCCCGAAAACAUGGGGCCAAGUUAAAGGGUUUCCCCCUUUUGGGCGCGGCAAAGAUUUAAGCCUCCCCUGGAGAAACGGCCGCAGGUUGAACUAAAGGAAUUAAGGGCCCCCCACAGCGUGAACUGUGUUUAAUUGAAACACGGGAAAACUAAAGGUUUGGAAUCUCUGAAACCCGAAAAAGGGCUUCCCUUUGGGG